rnacentral:lncRNA from 1 species
AAAACUAUAAUAUAGAGAUAUGAGAAUUUUUAUCCUAAUUUUAUCAUUUAUUAUAUGUAUGUGUUUCAAGUACUUAUGAAGUUAGUUGUAAUUAAUCAGCUGGGUCCAGAUGCAACCACUCCUGAAAACUGAAGGUGCAGGAGUCAGAAUUGAAUCUGGAUCUUCCAAGCAACUGCUUUAUCAUGUAGCUAUCUGCCAAUUUAUAUGCUCAUUCUUUAAUAUAACACUAUUUUUAAUAUUGCAUAUUUAUGACACUAGUACUACAGGAUAUGCUCCAACAUUCAUCUGUUUUGAUGUACAUAGGAUUUCACUGAACAAUUCAUUUACAUAAAUU